AACGCUGGCGGCGUGCCUAAUACAUGCAAGUCGAGCGAACUGAUUAGAAGCUUGCUUCUAUGACGUUAGCGGCGGACGGGUGAGUAACACGUGGGCAACCUGCCUGUAAGACUGGGAUAACUUCGGGAAACCGAAGCUAAUACCGGAUAGGAUCUUCUCCUUCAUGGGAGAUGAUUGAAAGAUGGUUUCGGCUAUCACUUACAGAUGGGCCCGCGGUGCAUUAGCUAGUUGGUGAGGUAACGGCUCACCAAGGCAACGAUGCAUAGCCGACCUGAGAGGGUGAUCGGCCACACUGGGACUGAGACACGGCCCAGACUCCUACGGGAGGCAGCAGUAGGGAAUCUUCCGCAAUGGACGAAAGUCUGACGGAGCAACGCCGCGUGAGUGAUGAAGGCUUUCGGGUCGUAAAACUCUGUUGUUAGGGAAGAACAAGUACGAGAGUAACUGCUCGUACCUUGACGGUACCUAACCAGAAAGCCACGGCUAACUACGUGCCAGCAGCCGCGGUAAUACGUAGGUGGCAAGCGUUAUCCGGAAUUAUUGGGCGUAA
rnacentral:rRNA from 2 species